rfam:Spiribacter salinus M19-40, complete genome.
GGGCGGUUAGCUCAGCGGGAGAGCACUGCCUUCACACGGCAGGGGUCGCUGGUUCGAUCCCAGCACCGCCCA